UGAAUAACAUUCCAUUGUAUGGAUGGACCACAUUUUGUUCAUUCAUUCAUCCCGUUGGUGGACACUAGGGCUGACUCCACCUUUGGGCUACUGGGGGACCCUGGUGCUGUGACCAUGGGUGUGUGGUUAUCUCUUUGGGACCUUUUCUUUCCCCUCUUUCUGGGGAAGAACCAGCAGUGGAUUCUUGGGUCCUUGGUAAUUCUGUUUUGAAUUCUUCCAGGAACCGCCAUACUGUUUUCCACGGUGGCCAUUAUCACGUCUGUUUUUACUGUCCUUUAGAACAAGUGGCCCUGGCUGCCCGUAUGAUAAUCGUAGAACAUUUCUUUCAUUAGAUGAAACAGACCACUGAAAUAAAUCUCAAAGUCCGCUACGAUAUCUGGGUGCCGAGGCCUACCCCCAACUGCUCCGACUCGGCUUCGGGCUUGUAGGCUGGAUUUUCGAGGUGAGCUUUUUUGUCCUUUGCUUGCUUGCUUGCUUUUUGGUCCCUUCGCUAAUGGGCACCAACACCUUCUCCUUUCUCCUGCUAUUAAUCUGGCACAGACCUUCAACAGGGGGGGCGGACUGCCAGGUUUUUCUGACGUCUCUUCUGAUGACCUGCAUUUACCAUCUUCACGAUGCUUCCAGGGGCUCUUUGCCCGUCCAUCCCUAAACACACAAACUGACCGGACCCUGUAGGAGUCACGUGUCCCGGGCUGCUGGCGUAUUAAUUCUUCACACCCUUUUUGCAGGGAUAACGGCUAGCAAGGCUGCAGCUAAUAGAGUUGUCCAGCUGUCUCCAUGGUAACGUUAUACCGUAUCAAUGUCACCACCUUCAUCCCGCCAAGAACAUGGUUCAUAGGACCAAGCCCAGUUGUCUCCAUGGUAACAUUGUCCCGUAUCGACAUCACCUUCAUCCCUCCAAGAACAUGGUUGCACAGAGACCAAGGCAUAAAGGUAGUUUCCUGCUUAUCUGGACGUCAAACCGUGACUCCCCAGCGACCCUGAACUUGAGCAGUGUUGAGGGAGCAGCGGCUGAUCUCAUUCUGUGAAAAACAAUUUAAGAGAUAACAAGACAUGUGAAGAUGAAUACAGCAAACAGCCACAUACCCACCUCCUGGCUUUGCCAAUAGAGCGAAGGUCUCCAGCAUGCACCUGCCCACUUUCCUGCCUUGGACCCCACCAGAGACCGAGACCGUUCUAAGUCUGGUGUUUAACAUGUCUUAGCAUGCCUGUAUGUCAUUACAGAGAAGUGGGUUUUGCAGGCUUUUAGAUUUUACUGAUUUUUUUACUUUUCUUUUUAGUGUUUAUUUAUUUAUUUUUAAACA